rnacentral:rRNA from 1 species
GACGUAGGGCGCGAGCGUUGUCCGGAUUUAUUGGGCGUAAAGAGCUCGUAGGCGGUUUGUCGCGUCUGCCGUGAAAGUCCGGGGCUCAACUCCGGAUCUGCGGUGGGUACGGGCAGACUAGAGUGAUGUAGGGGAGACUGGAAUUCCUGGUGUAGCGGUGAAAUGCGCAGAUAUCAGGAGGAACACCGAUGGCGAAGGCAGGGUCUCUGGGCAUUAACUGACGCUGAGGAGCGAAAGCAUGGGGAGCGAACAGG